rnacentral:lncRNA from 1 species
UUUGAGCUGAAAGUGUUUUGAAGUUUGGAAGCACCGGUAAGUCUGCUGUUUUGUAUGAAGGACGACAGGCACGGAAGCAGGAAGAUCAGGAGCAAGCUCUCUUGAGGCAGAAUCAGCGUAGUGCAAGGAUUUGAAGUCAUCGGCCAUCCCGACUCUUUAUGCAGGGUCUGCACCUGGAUUGCUGCUCUGAGAAGACUGAGUAUGUAGCGUGUGUUGAGAAUGAAGAGAUGUUCUAGUUUGUAGGGCGUGCUGAAAGUUAAGGAAAGGCCAGAUAAAGCUGUUACCCGAUAGUGAAUGUGUGAUGGCCAGUCGGGUAGUAAAUAGGCGCGUCUCCUGCUGAUGGGCACUUAGGAUACCCGCCCAUUGGAAGCUGAUUUUGCCGGGAAUAUUAUUUGUGUGGAAUCUGAAAUUAUAGUGGAAAUUUCCACGAUAACGCAAGGAUCUGUCUUCAGGUCAACAGGUUGAUAUUUGAUGUGUCAAGGACAAAGACGUGCAGGAAGGAAGGUCGCAGCUUACUGUCGAUCUCCACCUCGAGCAAGCCUCAGGACAUCUCUGAACAUUUAUUUGAGACCCCCUUUGACUAUAGGAUCGGUCCUCACGGCUCCUCUGUUAAGACCUAAGAGGGAACCGAAGCUGACAGGUCACAGUGGGAGGAAUUUAUCUCAGGCUGGACCUCAGAGAGAGGGUGCCCGGUUUCCUGUCUUCUCUCCCUGGCGUCUCAGAGAUAUCUCAAGACCUUUGGACUCUGAGUGUUGCUGACAGAGAUAGGCCGGUCCCCGAGAGAGUCCACAGGCAUGAUUUGACAGGAUAAUGCCCUCACUUGAUAAAAGGAGAGACUCUCUGUCAGCUGCCCGCAUCCUCCCUGAAGCUCUGGAAUCUGACUUCAUGGAGCAUUUGAGCAGCUAAGCUUUUCCUGACCCCCUCCCUCCCACCACCACUCCCGCCUUCCCCCAGUUGCUGAGCAUAAUUGAGAAUUAAUUGCAUGUCUGCUUAUUAUUUUGCUUACUUAAUUUGGUCUAAACGUUGUUCACACUCCAGACUUAAGGCCUGGAAGUGGCUGUCUUCAGGGACCAUUUCUGAGCUCAGCAAACCUUCCCAGCAGGACCUGAUCUCUCCAAGACAGGCGCUCCAGUGGAUCUGAGUUAGAUCGGUGUAUAGAUCAGGGUUCCUAAGAAGCAAUGGACAAAGACCCAGAGUCUGUGCUGGGGGCCUUGGAAGGCUCUAAACCCUGAGCAGCAGUUUACAGAAGAGGCGAACAAUAUGGAUAUGGAGACAAUCUCUGAGGAGACUUGGGAGUGCUCUCCUGUAGGAUCCAAGACUUCUCAUCUUUCCGAUGCGAACUGAAUUAUGCUAGCAUGUCAACCAGGACAUUUCAGAGAAGCAUCGGACAGAAACGUGUUAGUAAACCUCUUACCAGAACACCCUCACUAUCGAUUUUUUUUUGUCACUAAAACACAAACCAGCAUGGGACAUUAAACAGGACCUUUGGUAUUUGGUGUUGGGAAAAUGCCCCCUUGGAUCUAGAGCUCUUUAGGAGUAAUGGCUUCCCGAAAAGAACUAUAGAGAAAAAGAAGGCAGAAUAACCCAGGUGCCUGAGCAUCUUUGAGGAGGCCCCGAUGUGACUACCUGAAACCAGUCUAUGUCAGCACUUCUUGCUACCUGAGAUAUACAUUAUUCAUGGUUUAAGCCAUUCUGAGUCAGGACUUUUUUUUUAUUGAAACUCGGAGCUGGAAAUAGCCAAGUUUACCCACCAAGAAUAACAUCUGGAUUAUGAACCCUGGAAAUAUAACCACUGUCAUUUUGUGUCCCUGGACUAUAUUAAGCUCUACCACAUGGUUUCCAACUUGAGAGUCACUUGGGUUGUCUGUACAGGUGUAUGAGGAAAAGAAAAUCUUAUUUAUGAAUGGAGUGUGGUGAUACACCCUAUCCCGAGCUUUUGUCCCCACCAGCAAGAACAUGCUCAGGACAACCGGAAUCUUCUGCGGCAAAAGCUUUAUUGCUUACUUCUUUAGGAACAAGAGGAGAAGAAUAGGGGCGAAUGGCAAAACCCUGUCCCUUUUAUGGAGGAUUGUCCUCCGCCUCGGACAUGUCGCUCCCUGAUUGGCUGCAGCCCAUCAACCGAGUUGUCGUCAAGGGGAAGGCAGAGCACAUGGAGUGGAGAACUACCCCGGCACAUGCGCAGAUUAUUUGUUUACUACUUAGAACACAGGAUGUCGGCGCCAUCUUGUAAUGGUGAAUGUGAGGGUGGCUCCUCACAACAUCCCUUUAAUCCCAGUACUGAAGGCAGAGGCAGGUGGAUUUCUGAGUCUGAAGACAGCCUGGUAUAGAGAGCUAGUUCCAGGGCUAUACAAGAAGACUCUGUCUUGCAAAAAAUGAAACAAAACAAAAUAAAACAAAUGAAUAAACAAAAAGAAAGAAGCUUCAAUUUUUAUAAAAUAAAAACUAAUUUACCCCAAACAGAAGUAAGCACUGACAGCACAAACUGAUCGAGGCGUGUGGAGGUUCAUGGUCAUUCUUGCCUGUAGAGCAUCCUAGAAAGGCACUGUGUCUUUGCAAGAAUA